GGCGCACGGGUGAGUAACGCGUAAGUAAUCUACCCUCGCAUCGGGAAUAACCCACCGAAAGGUGUGCUAAUACCGGAUACGUCUGGAAAUAAUGACUUUUUUUCAGAGAAAGGCAGCCUCUGUUUACAAGCUGUCGUGCGGGGGAUGAGCUUGCGUACCAUUAGCUAGUUGGUAGGGUAAGGGCCUACCAAGGCGACGAUGGUUAGCGGGUCUGAGAGGAUGAUCCGCCACACUGGAACUGGAACACGGACCAGACUCCUACGGGAGGCAGCAGUGAGGAAUAUUGCGCAAUGGGGGCAACCCUGACGCAGCGACGCCGCGUGGAUGAUGAAGGCCUUCGGGUUGUAAAAUCCUGUCAGAUGGGAAGAACGGUAGGAGGGUUAACAGCCCUGUUAUUUGACGGUACCAUCAAAGGAAGCACCGGCUAACUCCGUGCCAGCAGCCGCGGUAAUACGGAGGGUGUAAGCGUUGUUCGGAAUUACUGGGCGUAAAGCGCGCGUAGGCGGCUCUUUAAGUCAUUUGUGAAAGUCCACGGCUCAACUGUGGAAGUGCAUGUGAAACUGGAGAGCUUGAGUACUGGAGGGGGUGGUGGAAUUCCCGGUGUAGAGGUGAAAUUCGUAGAUAUCGGGAGGAAUACCGGUGGCGAAGGCGACCACCUGGCCAGAUACUGACGCUGAGGUGCGAAAGCGUGGGGAGCGAACGGGAUUAGAUACCCUGGUAGUCCACG
rnacentral:rRNA from 1 species